AUGAGGCAAAGAGCUUGACCAGAAGGUCAGCC
rnacentral:sRNA from 1 species